GAUUAAGUUAUUAAGGGCGCACGGUGGAUGCCUUGGCACUAGAAGCCGAUGAAGGACGUUACUAACGACGAUAUGCUUUGGGGAGCUGUAAGUAAGCUUUGAUCCAGAGAUUUCCGAAUGGGGAAACCCAGCAUGAGUUAUGUCAUGUUAUCGAUAUGUGAAUACAUAGCAUAUCAGAAGGCACACCCGGAGAACUGAAACAUCUUAGUACCCGGAGGAAGAGAAAGAAAAUUCGAUUCCCUUAGUAGCGGCGAGCGAAACGGGAAGAGCCCAAACCAACAAGCUUGCUUGUUGGGGUUGUAGGACACUCUAUACGGAGUUACAAAGGACGACAUUAGACGAAUCAUCUGGAAAGAUGAAUCAAAGAAGGUAAUAAUCCUGUAGUCGAAAAUGUUGUCUCUCUUGAGUGGAUCCUGAGUACGACGGAGCACGUGAAAUUCCGUCGGAAUCUGGGAGGACCAUCUCCUAAGGCUAAAUACUCUCUAGUGACCGAUAGUGAACCAGUACCGUGAGGGAAAGGUGAAAAGUACCCCGGAAGGGGAGUGAAAUAGAACCUGAAACCGUGUGCUUACAAGUAGUCAGAGCCCGUUAAUGGGUGAUGGCGUGCCUUUUGUAGAAUGAACCGGCGAGUUACGAUUUGAUGCAAGGUUAAGCAGUAAAUGUGGAGCCGUAGCGAAAGCGAGUCUGAAUAGGGCGUUUAGUAUUUGGUCGUAGACCCGAAACCAGGUGAUCUACCCUUGGUCAGGUUGAAGUUCAGGUAACACUGAAUGGAGGACCGAACCGACUUACGUUGAAAAGUGAGCGGAUGAACUGAGGGUAGCGGAGAAAUUCCAAUCGAACCUGGAGAUAGCUGGUUCUCUCCGAAAUAGCUUUAGGGCUAGCCUCAAGUGAUGAUUAUUGGAGGUAGAGCACUGUUUGGACGAGGGGCCCCUCUCGGGUUACCGAAUUCAGACAAACUCCGAAUGCCAAUUAAUUUAACUUGGGAGUCAGAACAUGGGUGAUAAGGUCCGUGUUCGAAAGGGAAACAGCCCAGACCACCAGCUAAGGUCCCAAAAUAUAUGUUAAGUGGAAAAGGAUGUGGCGUUGCCCAGACAACUAGGAUGUUGGCUUAGAAGCAGCCAUCAUUUAAAGAGUGCGUAAUAGCUCACUAGUCGAGUGACACUGCGCCGAAAAUGUACCGGGGCUAAACAUAUUACCGAAGCUGUGGAUUGUCCUUUGGACAAUGGUAGGAGAGCGUUCUAAGGGCGUUGAAGCAUGAUCGUAAGGACAUGUGGAGCGCUUAGAAGUGAGAAUGCCGGUGUGAGUAGCGAAAGACGGGUGAGAAUCCCGUCCACCGAUUGACUAAGGUUUCCAGAGGAAGGCUCGUCCGCUCUGGGUUAGUCGGGUCCUAAGCUGAGGCCGACAGGCGUAGGCGAUGGAUAACAGGUUGAUAUUCCUGUACCACCUAUAAUCGUUUUAAUCGAUGGGGGGACGCAGUAGGAUAGGCGAAGCGUGCGAUUGGAUUGCACGUCUAAGCAGUAAGGCUGAGUAUUAGGCAAAUCCGGUACUCGUUAAGGCUGAGCUGUGAUGGGGAGAAGACAUUGUGUCUUCGAGUCGUUGAUUUCACACUGCCGAGAAAAGCCUCUAGAUAGAAAAUAGGUGCCCGUACCGCAAACCGACACAGGUAGUCAAGAUGAGAAUUCUAAGGUGAGCGAGCGAACUCUCGUUAAGGAACUCGGCAAAAUGACCCCGUAACUUCGGGAGAAGGGGUGCUCUUUAGGGUUAACGCCCAGAAGAGCCGCAGUGAAUAGGCCCAAGCGACUGUUUAUCAAAAACACAGGUCUCUGCUAAACCGUAAGGUGAUGUAUAGGGGCUGACGCCUGCCCGGUGCUGGAAGGUUAAGAGGAGUGGUUAGCUUCUGCGAAGCUACGAAUCGAAGCCCCAGUAAACGGCGGCCGUAACUAUAACGGUCCUAAGGUAGCGAAAUUCCUUGUCGGGUAAGUUCCGACCCGCACGAAAGGCGUAACGAUUUGGGCACUGUCUCAACGAGAGACUCGGUGAAAUCAUAGUACCUGUGAAGAUGCAGGUUACCCGCGACAGGACGGAAAGACCCCGUGGAGCUUUACUGUAGCCUGAUAUUGAAAUUCGGCACAGCUUGUACAGGAUAGGUAGGAGCCUUUGAAACGUGAGCGCUAGCUUACGUGGAGGCGCUGGUGGGAUACUACCCUAGCUGUGUUGGCUUUCUAACCCGCACCACUUAUCGUGGUGGGAGACAGUGUCAGGCGGGCAGUUUGACUGGGGCGGUCGCCUCCUAAAAGGUAACGGAGGCGCUCAAAGGUUCCCUCAGAAUGGUUGGAAAUCAUUCAUAGAGUGUAAAGGCAUAAGGGAGCUUGACUGCGAGACCUACAAGUCGAGCAGGGUCGAAAGACGGACUUAGUGAUCCGGUGGUUCCGCAUGGAAGGGCCAUCGCUCAACGGAUAAAAGCUACCCCGGGGAUAACAGGCUUAUCUCCCCAAGAGUUCACAUCGACGGGGAGGUUUGGCACCUCGAUGUCGGCUCAUCGCAUCCUGGGGCUGUAGUCGGUCCCAAGGGUUGGGCUGUUCGCCCAUUAAAGCGGUACGCGAGCUGGGUUCAGAACGUCGUGAGACAGUUCGGUCCCUAUCCGUCGUGGGCGUAGGAAAUUUGAGAGGAGCUGUCCUUAGUACGAGAGGACCGGGAUGGACAUACCUCUGGUGUACCAGUUGUCGUGCCAACGGCAUAGCUGGGUAGCUAUGUGUGGACGGGAUAAGUGCUGAAAGCAUCUAAGCAUGAAGCCCCCCUCAAGAUGAGAUUUCCCAACUUCGGUUAUAAGAUCCCUCAAAGAUGAUGAGGUUAAUAGGUUCGAGGUGGAAGCAUGGUGACAUGUGGAGCUGACGAAUACUAAUCGAUCGAAGACUUAAUCAA
rnacentral:rRNA from 1 species